AACCAUGCUAUAUAUCGAAGAACUAAUGCUAUGGGCAAUUCCUAGAGACUGAAAUAAAUAAAGUUAUUAAUGGAUAUAUAUAAUGUAUAUAUUUAUAUGUGUGUACUAGCGGACUAAAAGGAAAUAUUCGCAAGUAUUUUCAAGGGGAAACAAAUAUUCUAAAAUGAAUUAGCUUAGUUAAUCAAUGAAGGGAAGGAAGAUACAUAAAAAUGUCUUAUAUAAAAAAUAAAUCCCGUAACGUGUCAGAAUGAUGUCCUAAGUGCUUGUCUGUAAGGAGAGGACACCAACAAUAUGAACCUGGGGCAGGCUGACGGAAGCUAACGAGAGGGAAUCUCGGCGAACAUCCUACAACCUCAGCCGUGAUGGCUGAUCAGCUGGGAUGGACUGGCUAGCUGACCUUGACCCAUUAAAAAACCAGAAAAGCUGCGCGAAUUGCAUUAGAUAAUCGACCAGUCAAAAUUCCUUCUCAUCUCCGUAGAAAGUUUUGCUUUAAAUGGACAUUCAAAAGGUACUUUAAAUGAAAAAAACAUACUCUGCAAUCUAUUUUCUGAUGAAAUUAACUUAUCUGUGAAACAAAAGGCUUGGAUAUCACUAAAUAGCAGCAGCAAAAUUUAAGGUGCAUUGCUUCAUGACUGGAUUACUUAAUAACCUUGAGGUUAUUUAAUAUAUUUUAUAUAUAAU